rnacentral:rRNA from 1 species
CAGAACGAACGCUGGCGGCAGGCCUAACACAUGCAAGUCGAGCGCGCCUUUCGGGGUGAGCGGCGGACGGGUUAGUAACGCGUGGGAAUAUGCCCUUUGGUACGGAAUAGCCUCUGGAAACGGAGAGUAAUACCGUAUGAGCCCUUCGGGGGAAAGAUUUAUCGCCAAAGGAUUAGCCCGCGUUAGAUUAGGUAGUUGGUGGGGUAAUGGCCUACCAAGCCUACGAUCUAUAGCUGGUUUUAGAGGAUGAUCAGCAACACUGGGACUGAGACACGGCCCAGACUCCUACGGGAGGCAGCAGUGGGGAAUCUUGGACAAUGGGGGCAACCCUGAUCCAGCCAUGCCGCGUGAGUGAUGAAGGCCUUAGGGUCGUAAAGCUCUUUCGCCUGUGAAGAUAAUGACGGUAGCAGGUAAAGAAACCCCGGCUAACUCCGUGCCAGCAGCCGCGGUAAUACGGAGGGGGUUAGCGUUGUUCGGAAUUACUGGGCGUAAAGCGCACGUAGGCGGAUCGGAAAGUUGGGGGUGAAAUCCCGGGGCUCAACCCCGGAACUGCCUCCAAAACUAUCGGUCUAGAGUUCGAGAGAGGUGAGUGGAAUUCCGAGUGUAGAGGUGAAAUUCGUAGAUAUUCGGAGGAACACCAGUGGCGAAGGCGGCUCACUGGCUCGAU